AGGACGAACGCUGGCGGCGUGCCUAACACAUGCAAGUCGAACGGGGCCCGCAAGGGUUCAGUGGCGAACGGGUGCGUAACACGUGAAGAAUUUGUCCAACGGUGGGGGAUAGCCGGCCCAACGGCCGGGUAAUACCGCGUACGCCCUUCGAGCGGCAUCGCUUGAUGGGGAAAGUCGCAAGACGCCGAUGGAGAACUUCGCGGCCUAUCAGCUAGUUGGUGAGGUCAUGGCUCACCAAGGCGACGACGGGUAGCUGGUCCGAGAGGAUGACCAGCCACAUUGGGACUGAGACACGGCCCAGACUCCUACGGGAGGCAGCAGUGGGGAAUAUUGCGCAAGUGGG
rnacentral:rRNA from 1 species